UACGAAGGGGGCUAGCGUUGUUCGGAAUUACUGGGCGUAAAGCGCGCGCAGGCGGUCUUCCAAGUCAGUGGUGAAAGCCCGGAGCUCAACUCCGGAACUGCCAUUGAAACUGUUGGACUUGAGUACGAGAGAGGUGAGUGGAAUUCCCAGUGUAGAGGUGAAAUUCGUAGAUAUUGGGAAGAACACCGGUGGCGAAGGCGGCUCACUGGCUCGUAACUGACGCUCAGGCGCGGACAGCGUGGGGAUCAAACAGG
rnacentral:rRNA from 1 species